rnacentral:rRNA from 1 species
UACGGGGGGGGAAGCGAAGAACCUUACCUGGUCUUGACAUCCACAGAACUUUCCAGAGAUGGAUUGGUGCCUUCGGGAACUGUGAGACAGGUGCUGCAUGGCUGUCGUCAGCUCGUGUUGUGAAAUGUUGGGUUAAGUCCCGCAACGAGCGCAACCCUUAUCCUUUGUUGCCAGCGGUCCGGCCGGGAACUCAAAGGAGACUGCCAGUGAUAAACUGGAGGAAGGUGGGGAUGACGUCAAGUCAUCAUGGCCCUUACGACCAGGGCUACACACGUGCUACAAUGGCGCAUACAAAGAGAAGCAAUCUCGCGAGAGCUAGCGGACCUCAUAAAGUGCGUCGUAGUCCGGAUUGGAGUCUGCAACUCGACUCCAUGAAGUCGGAAUCGCUAGUAAUCGGAAUCAGAAUCGUCGA